rnacentral:misc_RNA from 1 species
GAAAUGCGAUAAGUAGUGUGAAUUGCAGAAUUCAGUGAAUCAUCGAAUCUUUGAACGCACAUUGCGCCCCUUGGUAUUCCUUAGGGCAUGCCUGUUCGAGCGUCAUCUAAACCUUCAAGCCCUGCUUGGUGUUGGGUGCCUGUCCCGCCUCCGCGCGCGGACUCACCUCAAAUCCAUUGGCGGCCCCCGCGUCGGCCACGAGCGCAGCAGAAACGCGAACUCGUGAGCCCGUCCGGGCGGCUCCCAGAAGCUACACCCACCCAGUUUGACCUCGGAUCAGGUAGGGAUACCCGCUGAACUUAAGCA